rnacentral:rRNA from 1 species
UACGUAGGGUGCGAGCGUUGUCCGGAAUUAUUGGGCGUAAAGAGUUCGUAGGCGGCCUGUCGCGUCGGUUGUGAAAGCCCGGGGCUUAACCCCGGGUCUGCAGUCGAUACGGGCAGGCUAGAGUUCGGUAGGGGAGAUCGGAAUUCCUGGUGUAGCGGUGAAAUGCGCAGAUAUCAGGAGGAACACCGGUGGCGAAGGCGGAUCUCUGGGCCGAUACUGACGCUGAGGAGCGAAAGCGUGGGGAGCGAACAGG